CCUACGGGGUGCAGCAGUGGGGAAUAUUGGACAAUGGGCGAAAGCCUGAUCCAGCCAUGCCGCGUGUGUGAAGAAGGCCUUCGGGUUGUAAAGCACUUUCAGUGGGGAAGAAAGCCUUGGGGCUAAUACCCUCGAGGAAGGACAUCACCCACAGAAGAAGCACCGGCUAACUCCGUGCCAGCAGCCGCGGUAAUACGGAGGGUGCGAGCGUUAAUCGGAAUUACUGGGCGUAAAGCGCGCGUAGGCGGUCUGAUAAGCCGGUUGUGAAAGCCCCGGGCUCAACCUGGGAACGGCAUCCGGAACUGUCAGGCUAGAGUGCAGGAGAGGAAGGUAGAAUUCCCGGUGUAGCGGUGAAAUGCGUAGAGAUCGGGAGGAAUACCAGUGGCGAAGGCAGCCUUCUGGACUGACACUGACGCUGAGGUGCGAAAGCGUGGGUAGCAAACAGGAUUAGAUACCCCUGUAGUC
rnacentral:rRNA from 1 species